GACGAACGCUGGCGGCGUGCCUAAUACAUGCAAGUAGAACGCACAGUUUAUACCGUAGCUUGCUACACCAUAGACUGUGAGUUGCGAACGGGUGAGUAACGCGUAGGUAACCUGCCUGGUAGCGGGGGAUAACUAUUGGAAACGAUAGCUAAUACCGCAUAAUAUUAAUUAUUGCAUGAUAAUUAAUUGAAAGGUGCAAUUGCACCACUACCAGAUGGACCUGCGUUGUAUUAGCUAGUAGGUGAGGUAACGGCUCACCUAGGCGACGAUACAUAGCCGACCUGAGAGGGUGAUCGGCCACACUGGGACUGAGACACGGCCCAGACUCCUACGGGAGGCAGCAGUAGGGAGUCUUCGGCAAUGGACGAAAGUCUGACCGAGCAACGCCGCGUGAGUGAAGAAGGUUUUCGGAUCGUAAAGCUCUGUUGUAAGAGAAGAACGGGUGUGAGAGUGGAAAGUUCACACUGUGACGGUAUCUUACCAGAAAGGGACGGCUAACUACGUG
rnacentral:rRNA from 1 species